rnacentral:misc_RNA from 1 species
UCUGGGUUUAUCCCAGCGGUCUCGUUAGAAAGAUUUAACUAACGACGGGGGUUGCGCUCGUUGCGGGACUUAACCCAACACCUCACGGCACGAGCUGACGACAGCCAUGCAGCACCUGUGCUAGCUCCCCGAAGGGUCCUUUGUCUUUCGACUCCGUACUACUAGCAUGUCAAGCCUUGGUAAGGUGGGGAUGACGUAGAACGGUUGGUU